rnacentral:piRNA from 1 species
UGAGUAAAUAAUUUCACUAAUAUCUGAGUCC